ACGUAGGGGGCGAGCGUUAUUCGGAAUUACUGGGCGUAAAGGGUGUGUAGGUGGUCCUUUAAGUCGGGUGUCAAAGUCCAGUGCUCAACGCUGGGAGUGCAAGCGAAACUGAAGGACUUGAGGGCAGGAGAGGUGAGCGGAAUUCCCGGUGUAGCGGUGAAAUGCGUAGAGAUCAGGAGGAACACCAGUGGCGAAGGCGGCUUACUGGACAGUAUCUGACGCUGAGGUACGAAAGCGUGGGGAGCAAACAG
rnacentral:rRNA from 1 species